GUGGGGAAUAUUGGACAAUGGGCGCAAGCCUGAUCCAGCCAUGCCGCGUGUGUGAAGAAGGCCUUCGGGUUGUAAAGCACUUUUGUCCGUAAAGAAAAGCUUCGGGUUAAUACCCCGGGGUCCUGACGGUACCGGAAGAAUAAGCACCGGCUAACUUCGUGCCAGCAGCCGCGGUAAUACGAAGGGUGCAAGCGUUACUCGGAAUUACUGGGCGUAAAGCGUGCGUAGGUGGUUUGUUAAGUCUGAUGUGAAAGCCCUGGGCUCAACCUGGGAAUUGCAUUGGAUACUGGCAGGCUAGAGUGCGGUAGAGGAUGGCGGAAUUCCCGGUGUAGCAGUGAAAUGCGUAGAGAUCGGGAGGAACAUCUGUGGCGAAGGCGGCCAUCUGGACCAGCACUGACACUGAGGCACGAAAGCGUGGGGAGCAAA
rnacentral:rRNA from 1 species